rnacentral:misc_RNA from 1 species
GGACGUUGAAGGAGUUGAAGAUUUGUAUUGUAUCGUGAUAUUCCGGUAGAAAUUGUCUAAAACGCCUUUCCAAAGUUGGAUAAAAUCAUGAGUGAUGAGAAUGAUGAAGCCCAUGAUGUUGGGUUUGUCUUAAUUGCAAACGAAAUUCUACAGAAGUGCAAGAUAAAUGGAAACGUGCAGUCGCUCAAAGAGUGCUCCGACUCCUUUUUUAUUGCUAUAUAUGAAGGAAUAUUGGGGGAGUCCUUGGAGGGUAUCAUAACCAAUGCAGUAUCUUAUGAACAACGGAUUUCAAACUGCAGCAAAGUCAUUGAAGCGUUGUCACAUGAUGUUCUAAAUGUAGACCUGUCCCACAUUACAGCAGAGAAUAUUGUGGAAGGUGAUGUACCAACAAUUCAAAAUCUUCUGGAAAUAUUUAAAGAGCUAUUAGAUUUCAUCCUUGAUGUGGACGAUGAAUUUGACCUGGACAAUGCUGGUGAGCAAGAUGACUCCAAUAUCUUGUCUUCUGAUCAUGAAGUCAUCUCUGAUGUACUUCAAGAGGAACUUGGUCCAUCAACUCAUGCUUUCAGAUUUACUCCAAAAACUACAGCUUUAUCCUCAGAUGGUUCAACAGUUGGAGAGCCUGAACUAUCUUCAAUUCCAAAAUGUAGCGAUGUUCCAAGUUCACGAAAUUCCGACCUUGACAGUAAUUCCACUGAUGAAAUUAUCAGAGAAAGUGAAUUAUUGGAACGUCAAUUCCUAAGGGACUAUCCUUCCUUGCGCAAGGUAAUUAAAGAUCAGGGGGUGCCUGUACACCCUGAACUUGCUACGUCAGGUAGGAUUCACACCCUGGAUGAAUGUUCAGACCCACCCAGAUAUGAAGAAAAACUACCAAAAGGUCGAGAUGAGGCUACAACAAGGGACAGAUAUACUGAUGGUAGAAUUAGAGAGGUGUGUGUAUCUGGUACAACUAAGGAUACUCGUGUAUCAAGUGGUACCACUAGAGAUGCCCCUGGGGCAAGAGGUACAAUUACAGGUGCUUCUAAACCAAGUGGUACAACUAGAUAUGACUCUGGACCAAAGGGUACAACUUGGGAUACUUGUGUACCAAUGGGUACCACUAGAGAUGCUUCUCUACAAAGUGGUUCAACUAGGGAUAUUCAUGUACCAAGGGGUACCACUAGAGAUGCUUCUUUACAAAGUGGUACAAAUAGGGAUACUCGUGUGCCAAGCGGUACCACUAGGGAUGCCUCUCUCCAAAGUGGUACAUCUAGGGAUGCUCCUCCUAUACCCAGCGAUACAGCAAGGAAUGCUAUACGAAAUGGUACAACUGGAUGGACUCCUGUCUCCAGCACAGACAAAUUACCUGGUCACGCGGACGACGGUGACACCAUACGCAGGUUACGUGAUUCAUUUACAAAACCAGUGACAAUCCCAACGGGAUUACAAGCGAAAUCACCAGACCAUUCUGGUGAAUACCCGUUUGGAACAGGGAAAGUUGGUGAUGAAAGGGGGUAUAGAAAGAGACACGAUUAUGGUGAUUCAUUAACAUCGGCUGAUACAAAACAUAAAUCUCGAGAUUUAACGAAUACAGAAAUCCGUACGAAAGACAGGCCAGUGAAACGCGCAGAAUUUCCUAAGCAUGCCAAAGGAAGAAAUGAACAUGCUGGUUUGACAAAAAGACCUGAGUUGUCGUCUGAAGAACCAGGAACCACAGCCGCGAGUUUGACAGCUCGUAGAAACGGUGAUAUACCAAGUAAAGCCAAAAACGAUCUACAAUCUGAGAACGGUUUAACUGCAAGAGGAGCGAGAAAAAUCGGUGUUCAGGAUACAGGUUCUGAUUUUGGUGAAGCACCGAUUCGUUCAAAGAAAAAAUCAACUCAUUACAGACAUGAUUCUGAUCCCACAAGGGAUUUCACGGACAUAAAUGGACCGAGGACUGUUGACGCCAAAUCACGACCGGGUGCGUUGGGGAUUAGGAGGGUGAAUAGGGGAGACCGAGGGAUAGGUAGGGAUGGCAAUGGAUAUGGUAAGGGUAAAAAGGGUGAAAAGGACAAGCGACCUCGGGGAGUAGUAGGUGGGCAAAGAGGAUCAAGGGGUGUUAAGGUGAUGAAGGAGGGGAUUGAGCAACGAAAAGCAAUAGGGGUUAAAGGGGGAUCUAUUGAGAUCAAGGAAGUUGGACAAAAGGAGGGUGAUGCAGUGAAUUCAGUGGUUUCAGAGGAUAUGAAGAGACAUACGGAUGGUUCGGAAUCGUCAGGCGUGUUCUGGGACGAUCAAAUAUCUCCAUUGGAUGUCUCCGAAAGAUUGCGAAACCCGAGUCAAGGACUCGCAUUUGACGAGGUUGGCCUCGCCAAGAAAUCGUCCGAGUAUGAAGCUCGUCAUCAGAGACUCGGGAAGGAAAAAGAAUCACGUGAUACACCUGUGGUCCGUCACUAUCAUCAUCAUUUUCAUCAUGCAAGUUCUGAAGACUUAGUACGUGAUGUAGACUUGAGUGAAAGGGCUCAGAGUUUUGAGAAUGUCGCUAGAUCGAGAAAUAAUGAAGAACUUGGUUCAAGUCUCACAAGAAAGGAUCCUAGAAACGCUGACCCAGAACCACGUCAUACACUGAGAAAAGAUGUAUUAAUGAAAAAAGAUGAUGAAAUAUCUCUAAAGAAACGCUCAGUAAAAUUCGAUGACAAUGUCGACACCUUCUUAAUCACGAACAGACUUGAGAGACUGAAACGAGACAUGGAAAUUGAGCGAAAUGAACAAAACAGGAGGGGAAUGCGAAUAAAGAAUGGUUAUGACGGGUAUUUGGAUCGUUUAAAUAAAGAACACAGACGAAUGGAAAAAGAACUGAAAGGAAUACCAAAGAAAACCAAAAAAUCGAGCCCCUAUCGUGCGAAACGUGUCGUGUCUCCCUCUCCACGUGUCCCUCAGAAGAAGGCAAGAUAUACCAGUACAAGAGCUAGGAAACGAAGCAGCUCAGCUAGUCCCAAGGUCCGCAAGAAAAAGAAAGCAGCCAAACAACUUGAGAAAGGUGACGUUAUUUUACCAACAUUACUUGACGAGUUUCCAUUUCUUCAUCUUUCUCCGCACACGCUGCAAACGAUGAGAAAGAAACAAACUCAGCAACUCUUGAACCUUUCCAAGUCUUCGCAAGCAGAUAAAAGACAGACCAAAACACAAAAGGUUAUCGAAGACGCCGAGAAACGACAGCAAACGUUGCUGAAAAUACUUCGCAAAGAUCUCCAACACAAUGAAAGAAUGCGUGAGCAGAAACAACGGAAGGAACAGGAACGUGCGAUACGUUCAAGACUUCGUGAAAAACGACACGCGACUGCGAGAGCACGCAGAUACUACGAAGACUACCAGUUACGAAUGAGGGCAAGAAUGUUGAAACGACGAACGAAAGAGGAACAGGUUUUCAAGAAUCUGUUUGAGGACGGUUUAGAAAUUCAAAAACAACGAGUCCGUGAACUACGUUCAUACGCAAAAGAACAGCGAGAGUUGAGAGCUUUGAAACAACAAAAUGAACUAGAAUCCAUCGAAAAUUAUUACCAUGAUCAGUAUUCGAUUUUAGCCGAGGCGAUCGCACAGGAAAAAGAAGCGCUUUUGAUCAGGGAGAAAGCACAAGAAAAGGUUAUUCAUCAAAUGCAACGCAAUCUUCGCCAGAAACUUCAAAAGGAAGUCUCGGACAUACAAGAGACUCUCGUUCGUGACGAAGAUGACGCGUACUUCCGACGACUGGACGCCGAAAGGCUCCGACGUCAAUUGCAGAUGACGGCGUUUCAAAACCUUAGCUGAGACCACUUUGAUGGUCACGUGAAGUAAGUAAUCCAAACACGUGAAGAAGUGAUCCAAGCGGAAAGGUAUCUAUGCCAUUCGCUGAGAAACGACAAACUCCUCAAAGACGAAACGAAUGUUAUUUGUGUCUAUCGCCGUCGUGAAGUGAUAGAAAAGAG